rnacentral:rRNA from 1 species
UAGUGGGGGAUAACGUUCGGAAACGGACGCUAAUACCGCAUACGUCCUACGGGAGAAAGCAGGGGACCUUCGGGCCUUGCGCUAUCAGAUGAGCCUAGGUCGGAUUAGCUAGUUGGUGAGGUAAUGGCUCACCAAGGCGACGAUCCGUAACUGGUCUGAGAGGAUGAUCAGUCACACUGGAACUGAGACACGGUCCAGACUCCUACGGGAGGCAGCAGUGGGGAAUAUUGGACAAUGGGCGAAAGCCUGAUCCAG